UACUUUUUCGGGCAUUUUCGUGA
rnacentral:sRNA from 1 species